GAGAGCCGGAUGCGGGAAAUCCGCACGUCCGGUUCGAGGAGGGGGGAGCAGGGCGCAUGGCAUGGCAUACGGUAAAUGAGCCACGAAAGGGGAAACCCGGACACAGAUGUACUCCGUAGCCUAAACUAUGUUCCCUGCUCCUCUACUCUAC
rnacentral:ncRNA from 1 species